rnacentral:rRNA from 1 species
AGGGCACCACCAGGAGUGGAGCCUGGGGCUUAAUUUGACUCCACCCGGGGAAACUCCCCCCGGCCGGAAACCGUAAGGGUUGAAAGAAUGAUAACUUCUUCCUGAUUCGGGGGAUGGGGGUGGAUGGCCGUUCUUUAUUCGGGGAGCGAUUUGUCUGGGUUAAUCCCAAUACCAACGAAACUCUUGGCUACUAAAUAGUAAGGGCAUUGUCUCUGUGUGUUUGACUUCUUAGAGGGAUUUUCGGUGUACAGCCGCACGAAAUUGAGCAAUAACAGGUCUGUGAUGCCCUUAGAUGUCCGGGGCUGCACGCCCGCUACACUGGCAAAAUCAGCGUGCUUGUCCUUCCCCGAAAGGGGUUGGUAAACCCUUGAAAAUUUGCCGUGAUUGGGAUUGGAAAUUGCAAUUAUUUUCCAUGAACGAAGAAUUCCAAGUAAGUGCGAGUCAUCAACUCGCGUUGAUUACGUCCCUGGCACUUGUACACACCGCCCGUCCCUGCCCAGCACUGAGCCGUCUCAAGAA